rnacentral:rRNA from 1 species
CCUACGGGAGGCAGCAGUGGGGAAUAUUGCACAAUGGGCGCAAGCCUGAUGCAGCCAUGCCGCGUGUGUGAAGAAGGCCUUCGGGUUGUAAAGCACUUUCAGCGGGGAGGAAGGCGGUGAGGUUAAUAACCUCAUCGAUUGACGUUACCCGCAGAAGAAGCACCGGCUAACUCCGUGCCAGCAGCCGCGGUAAUACGGAGGGUGCAAGCGUUAAUCGGAAUUACUGGGCGUAAAGCGCACGCAGGCGGUCUGUCAAGUCGGAUGUGAAAUCCCCGGGCUCAACCUGGGAACUGCAUUCGAAACUGGCAGGCUAGAGUCUUGUAGAGGGGGGUAGAAUUCCAGGUGUAGCGGUGAAGUGCGUAGAGAUCUGGAGGAAUACCGGUGGCGAAGGCGGCCCCCUGGACAAAGACUGACGCCCAGGUGCGAAAGCGUGGGGAGCAAACAGGAUUAGAUACCCCAGUAGUC